rnacentral:misc_RNA from 1 species
GUGAAUCAUCAAAUUUUUGAACGCAAAUUGCACUCUCUUCGGAGAGUAUGCCUGUUUGAGGGUCAGCCUAAAAAAAAAAAUCGACAUAGUUGCUGUUUCGCGGUUACAUUUGUCGGAAAUUGGGUCAUCUUAAAUAUUUGGGUUUUAAGUGUCUUAAAAGUUUCUUUACGAUUCCAUGAACGUGAUUAAGAUUUUUCUUUUUACACGUUUAAGGUAUCGAUCUUUAUUAGACGUGGCCUUUACAUCGGAUAAUGUCCAACAUUA